CCUACGGGAGGCAGCAGUGAGGAAUAUUGGUCAAUGGACGAGAGUCUGAACCAGCCAAGUAGCGUGAAGGAUGACUGCCCUAUGGGUUGUAAACUUCUUUUAUAAAGGAAUAAAACGAGGCACGUGUGCCUUUUUGCAUGUACUUUAUGAAUAAGGAUCGGUAACUCCGUGCCAGCAGCCGCGGUAAUACGGAGGAUCCGAGCGUUAUCCGGAUUUAUUGGGUUUAAAGGGAGCGUAGAUGGGUUGUUAAGUCAGUUGUGAAAGUUUGCGGCUCAACCGUAAAAUUGCAAUUGAUACUGGCAGUCGUGAGUACAGUUGAGGUAAGCGGAAUUCGUGGUGUAGCGGUGAAAUGCUUAGAUAUCACGAAGAACCCCGAUUGCGAAGGCAGCUUACUAAACUGUGACUGACAUUGAUGCUCGAAAGUGUGGGUAUCAAACAGGAUUAGAUACCCUGGUAGUC
rnacentral:rRNA from 1 species